AAAGGGAAUCAUGGGUAAAAUAUUGCUAAAUUUGUUAGUGUCCAUAUGAAGUGCAAGCAGUGAGAGUGCGUCGCAAUUAGUGAAAUUUUUUAAUUGAUUAGAAGCAAUGGAUCAAGACAAAAUCAUUCAUAUCAACGAUCAUCACAUCAGGGUACAAGUAUAAAAAAGAACGUGUCGAACAAGAGUGACUAUCAUCGACAUAUCGAAGGGAUACAACUGUAACGGAAGCUAUAUACCGAACAGAUGCAGCUAUAAAGAGAUAACAUUCUACAUGAAGUGGUUAUAUUCACAUUGUACAUUCAUACGUAUAUUACGGUACAUAUAAGAGGAAAGUUCCAGUGUAAAUAAAUAUAUAAAAUUUGAUAAUAUGAAUGAAGUUUUAAAAAAGAAUUUUAAAACUUUGUAUCCAAAGUUGGAAAUCGCUGUAAACAAUGCAACUUUUAUUGCCAUCGAUGCUGAAUUUACUGGUUUAUAUUCAGAAGAGAAAUUGAAACAUAGCUUUUUUGAUACAUUCAAUGAUCGUUAUAAAUUAUUAAAGAAAAAUAUUCAGCAAUUUAUGAUAAUACAAUUUGGCAUUGCAACUUUCCGUCAUGUUCCUUAUGAAAAUACCUAUGAAGUAGAUUGUUUUAAUUUUUAUUUGUUUCCAAAAUCUAUACCAUUAAAAAAUAGACACUUAAUAUGGCAAGUGGCAGCAUUAGAGUUCCUUUGUAAACAUAAUUUUGAAUUUAAUAAAUUUUUAAAUGAAGGUAUUUCAUUCUUGGAUGAGACAGAUGAAAAGUUAUUACAGAGUUAUAUAAAAGAAGAUAGUUUAGCAUAUAAUUUAAAUCAUUUAACAUAUGAAGAAGAAAAUGAGUUCAUAGACUAUAAAACUAAAAUUUCUGAAUGGAUUGCUAAUAAGAAUGAAGAAACAUUAAAGGUGGAAACUUCUAAUCCUAUAUUACAAUAUUUGAUACAUAAAGACAUAAGGCACAAUUAUAAAAGUACAUGGAGUAUAUCAGAUGAUAAAUCAGUAAAUAUCAUAAAAAUAUCACCUAACAUGCAUAAACUUUUAAGAAAAAAUGAUAAAGAAAGUUUGGAGAAAGAAUUAUUAGAUUAUUACAUAGGAUUUUCUAAAGUAUUUAAACUCUUGGCCUCUUCUAAAAAAAUAAUAGUAGGACAUAAUAUACUUUUAGAUUUAAUGUUUAUGCAUCAACAAUUUUAUAAACCACUGCCAAAUUCAUAUAAUGAAUUCAAAAACAAUAUACAUGAAUUAUUUCCACAAAUAUAUGAUACAAAAUUUUUAAGUUACGAAGUACGAAAAUUAUUUAGCAAGGAAGAAGUGAGUUGGAAAAUAAGUUCAUUGAGUACUUUAUACGAAUAUUUUACAACUAAAGGAAAAUUAUUAACCUUGAAUUCACCAAAGAUUGCAAUUAAUGAAGAAUCUUCAAAGUCAGAUAUUAUCCUAGAUGAAAAAAAGUAUCAUACAGCUGGAUGGGAUGCUUACUUUGCUGGAUAUAUAUAUAUAAAAAUGGCACACAUAUUUUGUGUAAAUAAAUUUGGAACAGGUUUGGAAGAAAGAAGAGUAACGCAUGCUGAACUAAUAAGCAGCAUAAAAAACUUUGUAAAUUGUAUAAAUAUAACAAGAGGCAAUGAAAUGUAUAUGAAAUUUGAUGGUCCAGAUCCAAUGUUAUCAAGACCAGAAUGGCUUCAUGUGAAGUUAAAAUCACCAUCUGUAGAUAUUAAACAGUUGAUGGAGAAAUUUUCAUCUUUUGGCCAAGUGGAUGUGAUGCCUUUUGCUCAAAGACGUGUUUUGGUAGCUGUAGCAAACCAUAAAAGGUUAGAACAAUUGUUAUUUACUUUUAUUUUUUUUUAUCGUUACAUAAAAUAAAAAUAUUUUACUGAAAAUAUAUACAAGACGAUUGGUUUGAAUUAAUCUAAAAAAUGAUAAAAUACUUCUAUCAUUCUUCAAGGAGCGACAAACUACCUUUCGAUGCAAUUGAAAGGCCACAAUAAUGUACGUAUUUAAAUACUUUUAGGCAAUCAGCUCAUUUAACAUGAAAUAAAUUUAAACUUCGUUGUCGUCCAGCAUAAAUAUCUUCAUGGCUGGCCGUCAAACUGACACAAGACAUGCUUGCAGAAACUCGUAUUUUACGUUUUGUACUUACAUCAUAAUUCAGGUUAUCAAAACAAUGAGGUGAGAUUAAAGGAAAAGUGCAAAUACGACCAAUCCAUGUAAACGUGUCGCGAUUUCUAUAAAUAUCAAAUGUAGAGAAAGGACAGGUGUUUCAGUAUGAAGCUGCUUCAAAGUAAGGUGCCGGAACAAUUUUGGAUCUUAUCCAAGGGCAACCGCGUAUACUCAUCAUUGCACUUACAAAGUGAUAUCGAUGCACGUGAUUUUAUAUGACGAUUUUGAAUGCAUAAGUCAAAUGUGAUUCGCUUCGAUGGAAAACCAACAGCGCGUUACACAUAUUGCGGCAUUUCAAUAGCAGCGAGGAAUUUCAGGUGGCACGGUAUAGUCGCAUAAGGCACGCGACACCCAUCACCAUCUGUUUGUGAAUUCGCGGAGGACCGUGAUCGAAAUUCGGUCUCGAGCCCCAAAUUCGAUCAUCGUGUUUCAGUUUGAACGAGGUCCGAAUCCGCGUUACGUCAAACAAAUUAAUGAUUCUUCCACGGUCCUCCUCGUGGCGGCAGACUCUCUAAUUAGCACUAAGAUUGCCGUAGACGCACAAGUGACGAUCGCGAUGCCAAUUGUUGCCACCUUAGCCAAUCCUAUAAAAUCGUCGGAUUCUUUGUUGCUCACCUUCGAUGCUUGUUAAGACGAUUUCGAAACGUGGAUUGCGUAAUUGAUCAUCGAUUGCAUACUAAAUGGUUUUCCAUUUAUUAAAAUUGCAACCUGAGCGGAGUCAUCUUGUCCGGAAGCUUAUUUGCCUGGAUGUUGAAAAAAUGUUUUUAAAAACCUACUUGAAUGAGAGCGAAAAACGAGGAGAAGAAAAUGAAAAAUGAGAGAGAAGCAAGAAAGUACGGUUCAACUUCCGUCCGACUAUUCAGCCCAGGAAGAAUAUCUCCGUCUUUGUCUUCCUUUCUUAUGCUCGUUCGCGAACACCGGCCGCAGAAUCUAUUUAAAUAUUAGAUUGAAAUCGCGAGUGGAAUCUUUGCGUGAGCUGUUAUUAUUAUUUCUCGUUCUGGUUUGUCGACGUUCCGGGCCAGAGCUCGUUUUCGUCAAGGAAUCUAUCCACCGUUGUGCCAAACCUGUGUGUUUGAGUUUUUCAAACUCGUGAAAAAUCCAAAUAAUUCUCUCCAACUAUCCAUCGAUCGACACGCAUCUUUUGCAUCUAUUAUAUCUUCUAUCUUAUAUUUUGUUUUAUUUAUUAUACCUAAGUAUAUAGUUUUGACUUUUAUCAAAGUACAUGUUUUACGUUACGUCUUCUACAAAUAAUUUUCCACGUAAUAAAAAUUCAUAAGAUUCUUAGAAGAUUGAAAAUUUAUAUUCAAAUAAUUAUGUACAAUAACGUAUUAAACAAAACAAGGAACAAGUAAUAGUACGUGACAGAUUGUAUCAUAAAUUUCUUAGCAGAAAUCUUGGCAGAAAUGUUAGAACAGUCGCGCUCAAAAACGAUUCAAAUAAUAUUUUUCAUUGUGAACAAUUGUUAAAAAUAUGAUAAACAUUGUAAAAUCUUCAAGAAAAUAUUCCUUUAUUAAUCAUGUCACCGUUGAUGGAUUCAAUAAAUAUAAAACGAUUUCAAAUUCCUAUUCCUAGGAGAAGAGGCAUGAUAUUCUUCUCGUCACGUUUUAGUUGCAGUUACUCGCGCGGAUCACUUUGUGCUACUUUGUACUUAUCACAGAAUCCUGAUGGCCGAGGAAGAGACCAAGUGCUUCUCGAUAUUUCAAAAGUUUUCUCUGGCCAGCACCCAAGGCUAAAACACUCGAAAUAACGCAGUAGCAAUUCGUGUAGGCGUACUGCGGGACGGUCAGCCUGGUCACACUGGUAUCCGGUGGCAGGUGGAGCAGCUCUCGAGGUGGAUCUCAUUCUGUGUCUCUCUGGAUCCGGAUUCAACGAUAAAUGUAAAGGUCGCGAGCGCCAGGAACGAGGUCUAUGGAACUAGGUUAACUAAAUUCACUAUUUUCUCUUCUUAUUGAACAUCGAUAUCACGAACCGUAUGAAGCCUAUAAUUUCUUUAGGAUUCUCUUGAAUAAUUAAUGAAUGAAUAAAAUUUCAAAAGAAAAAAAUUGGUUGGUAACGAGAACUACUUUAUUCCCCGUACAAAAAAACGAAAAAUGAAAAAUGAUAUCACGUGGCCACCCAAAAAUACUACGAGAGGUGACUCGAUCCAAUCGCCUUCACCUAUCGGUCCGGCCAGGACAAGAGGCGGCUUGGUCGGGUUGUACUGCCAGCAAAAAGAAGAGACGAUUGAAAAUACCCAUGUUCUCUGGUCUCUCACGUGUUUCGAAAUCCGUGCACCCGAGAAAUCGUAGUAUUCUACCGAGAAGCAACGGUGUGGGGCAGCCUGUGCGCGAUUUCGCUUUGGCAUCGGCCAAGCACCUGUCGCACGCAUCGCCACAGUGGAAAAUAGAAAAUCGUUUUCGAAAAAGGCACGCGCAUGCGCCGACGUAACGCGAUUACGUGGGUGCGCCGAGAUUAAUUGCUCGCGCCAAUUACCGAAAUAAUGGUAAACGGUCCCUUGCAACCAUGCAUAAUUAAAUCAGAAUUUCGAAACGAGAACAGAUUGUUAAAUAAGGUGAUGAAAAUUUAAUCGUUUCGUUCUUCGAUGUGAAUAAUGAAUAAUGUGGAUUCUUGUUACUUGUUUGGAGAAUGGAGAAUUACAGGAAAAUUGUUUUUUUUUUUAUUUAUUUCAAAUUUUAUAUACUAAACUUUAUAAAAUAUAAUAUAAUUCAAAUUAAUUUAGAUUAUAUGUAUUUUAGAUUACAAAAAUGAGGAAUAUAUAAAGUUAAUUAAGAAUAUGAACAUUUUUAUACGAAAGUGAGGUUAGAAAUAUGAAAAUUUUCUGUGAUGUCGGUAAUGUAAAAAUAAAUUUAAAAAGUGUCAAACUUUUUUCUCAUUAUGUCCAAGAUUUCAAUUAUCAAUCAGUAAUAUGAAAAUUAGAAGAAACAUGAUGAGAGAAAAUUGAAGAAAUAUGAGAGAAAAUUUUGUUUUUAAAGUAAUUGUGGCAAGAAAUGGAUAGCAGAUUGAAGAAUUACUUCUGAAGAGGUACUUCUGGAAGUACAAAAAUCGUCUUUCUCCGGAGGGACACCACCAGAGGUCCCAGCAGCUUUUCGUUCGAAAGCUCUCUAGUACUAUUUUUGUCCAUAAGCUGAAUAGCGGAAAUAGCCUAGCCUAGCCCCUGGCCUAGAGCGUAGGCUUGACCGGCCAUAAUAGCGUCUCUUUCAAGGAUAUAUAUCAUGACAUCACGAUUUCUUUCGAGACGUCAGUAUCUAUUAAGAUGACGUUUCUUCUUGAAUUAUCAAUUUAUACGUGUUAAUUAAAUAUAAAUAAUAUAAAAGUUUUCUUUCGAAAUAUGCAUGAAACAAUUUUCUAAUGUAUUUAUGUUUUAUCUUAGUUUUACAUCGUAUUAAUAUUUUUAAUUUUUGUUUUAUUAAAAAUAUAUAUUAUAUUAAAUAUUUUCAUGCAAGUUACAUAUCUUAGGAUAGCAGACGUUACGUCUUCUCUGAUCAUUGAAAGCACACAAAAAUAAUCCAACGUUUUACAAGAAGCACGGAAUUAUAAAUACUCCUGAGCACAUUCGUCUUGCUGAAAUGGGUUUUUGCUUCGUUCGAAUAGUCAAUGAACGUUCCUAUUUAAAAGGAUAUCUUAUAUCUAUUUAUUUUUUUUAAUGGAAUUUUUAUAAGAAUUACUAAUUCUUCUCUAACUUAUAUUGUAAUUUAUAUUUAAUAAAGAAAAUUUUUUGUUAUUUCAGAAUUAAA